rnacentral:misc_RNA from 1 species
GCAAACUUGGUCAUUUAGAGGAAGUAAAAGUCGUAACAAGGUUUCCGUAGGUGAACCUGCGGAAGGAUCAUUACCGAGUGUAACCCACCCCGUAAAAAAGGGGGGUACCUCCCGUCCUUUGCAGGCCCCCCUUCUUAGGGGGGGGCUUUUAAGACUUUCUGCUUCGGCGGGGUUACUCCCGCCGGAACACCCUCAAAAACUCUUACAAAAAACCGUUCAGUCCGAGAACUUUUUGAAUAUAAAAAACUUUCAACAACGGAUCUCUUGGUUCUGGCAUCGAUGAAGAACGCAGC